GCUCUCAGAGUUGGCUCGGUUGGUAGAGCUUGAGACUCUGGAUCUCAGAGUCGUGAGUUUGAGCCCUCCUAUGGGCA